AGUUGCUGUGUUUCAGCUUUCCAUCAGUGGAAGGAUGGUUGAAGUGAUAUGAAAGCUGUUUUGAGGAAAGAAAUAAUUAGUUUGUCUUGUAUAAACUCUGCACAAAUAAAAGGGUGUAGGGAAUACAGAAGAAGUCAUCGAAGCAUCACUCUUUCCUAUGAUUUUUCUUUCUUGGAAUAUGAACUAAAUUGUCCUAUGCUGUGGUAGCAGACUUGAGUGCAUAAACCUUUUGACAAGUUUUCAUCCUCUCAGCUACAGCUGAUUGAACUACUCCAAGAGGAGCCACUCCCAGCUCUUUGUCUGGGUGCAGACUGCUGUGGUCUGUGAACACAAGUGCCAUGGGAUCUUCCCUGGUUUUUCUGGAAGCCUACAGAUUCUGAAUGGAUAAGUUCUGGGCCAGAUAACAUUUUGGAAGUGAACUUCCUUUGGUGACCUUUCUUUAUGCAUGCUCUACCUUCACAUGACCAAAUGUGCAACCAUCAUAUAAUUAAAAGAUGACAACCAUGGAGUCUGAGAAUGCAAGAACAUGUCUUCUACUGCCAAGGACCAGCUGACACCCACAGAGGCACAGAAUGGGAAAUGCUGUGUGCACCAAAAGGGAGGAAGUUUAUAAAAAGAUUUUUGUUUUCAUUCAUACUGUGACCGAAGUAACGUCCCAGUUUAAACAUUAAACUCAAGAUCAUUAACUUGUCACAGUGAUUUCUGGCUUAAAACUUUAUAGUAAAAUAAGAAGGCAUAAAAAGGCUUAUUAAUUGAUAAGAUAAAGCUUGCUAAAAUGUAAUGCUUUCCAUAUUUCAUAAAGAGAAUGAUUUAAAGUUAUAUUAUUGAAACUACAUGAAUUGUUUAAGCCAGUUACUAACUCACAUGUCAUGCCUGAAAUGUAAAACUCUGACAAAAAUGCUGGAUUUCACUUUUGGAUUCCCAAAAAUGUAAAAUAUCAGGGUUUAAGUCUCUCUUUUGCUAAAAAUAAAGACAAUAUACAAAAAAGUAAUCCAUACUUAGGAAAUGUAAAGAAACACAAGCAAAUAAAUAGUGC
rnacentral:lncRNA from 1 species